AAGUCGUAACAAGGUUUCCGUAGGUGAACCUGCGGAAGGAUCAUUAGUGAUAAUCGGGCGUCUUUGGAGCCCAAACUUCACUCUUCAAACACCUGUGCACCGUUACCUUUUUUUUUAAUAACACAAGUCCUAAGGAUGUCAUCGUUUACUAUAAACAAAAUAAAACUUUCAACAACGGAUCUCUUGGCUCUC
rnacentral:misc_RNA from 1 species